rnacentral:rRNA from 1 species
GACGAACGCUGGCGGCGUGCUUAACACAUGCAAGUCGAACGGAAAGGCCCUGCUUUUGUGGGGUGCUCGAGUGGCGAACGGGUGAGUAACACGUGAGUAACCUGCCCUUGACUUUGGGAUAACUUCAGGAAACUGGGGCUAAUACCGGAUAGGAGCUCCUGCUGCAUGGUGGGGGUUGGAAAGUUUCGGCGGUUGGGGAUGGACUCGCGGCUUAUCAGCUUGUUGGUGGGGUAGUGGCUUACCAAGGCUUUGACGGGUAGCCGGCCUGAGGGGGUGACCGGCCACAUUGGGACUGAGAUACGGCCCAGACUCCUACGGGAGGCAGCAGUGGGGAAUAUUGCACAAUGGGCGGAAGCCUGAUGCAACAACGCCGCGUGCGGGAUGACGGCCUUCGGGUUGUAAACCGCUUUCGCCUGUGACGAAGCGUGAGUGACGGUAAUGGGUAAAGAAGCACCGGCUAACUACGUGCCAGCAGCCGCGGUGAUACGUAGGGUGCGAGCGUUGUCCAGAUUUAUUGGGCGUAAAGGGCUCGUAGGUGGUUGAUCGCGUCGGAAGUGUAAUCUUGGGGCUUAACCCUGAGCGUGCUUUCGAUACGGGUUGACUUGAGGAAGGUAGGGGAGAAUGGAAUUCCUGGUGGAGCGGUGGAAUGCGCAGAUAUCAGGAGGAACACCAGUGGCGAAGGCGGUUCUCUGGGCCUUCCCUGACGCUGAGGAGCGAAAGCGUGGGGAGCGAACAGGCUUAGAUACCCUGGUAGUCCACGCUGUAAACGGUGGGUACUAGGUGUGGGGUCCAUUCCACGGGUUCCGUGCCGUAGCUAACGCUUUAAGUACCCCGCCUGGGGAGUACGGCCGCAAGGCUAAAACUCAAAGGAAUUGACGGGGCCCCGCACAAGCGGCGGAGCAUGCGGAUUAAUUCGAUGCAACGCGUAGAACCUUACCUGGGUUUGACAUGGAUCGGGAGUGCUCAGAGAUGGGUGUGCCUCUUUUGGGGUCGGUUCACAGGUGGUGCAUGGCUGUCGUCAGCUCGUGUCGUGAGAUGUUGGGUUAAGUCCCGCAACGAGCGCAACCCUUGUUCACUGUUGCCAGCACGUUAUGGUGGGGACUCAGUGGAGACCGCCGGGGUCAACUCGGAGGAAGGUGGGGAUGACGUCAAGUCAUCAUGCCCCUUAUGUCCAGGGCUUCACGCAUGCUACAAUGGCUGGUACAGAGAGUGGCGAGCCUGUGAGGGUGAGCGAAUCUCGGAAAGCCGGUCUCAGUUCGGAUUGGGGUCUGCAACUCGACCUCAUGAAGUCGGAGUCGCUAGUAAUCGCAGAUCAGCAACGCUGCGGUGAAUACGUUCCCGGG